GACACAACACUAUUUUUGAAGAUUCUAGCUUCUUUCAUGAACAUGUUCCUUGCAUAAACUAAUCCAAGUUAUUCAGUUUAAGCAAUUCUAGAGAAGCAAUUUAAGCGAAAUCCUAAGUUUCGUGUUAAUUUCCAAUAUCAGAAGAUACAAUAUUCAUUUCUCCCGUUAUUACUUCCAUGCUAAUAAUUACUUCAAUUGUCUGUGGAUUAAACUUCCAUAUUUAGAAUUGGUACCGAAGAAGUUUCGAAUUGUCCAAUUAAGGAUGUUCACUUGUAAACACUUUAUAAAUCUGGACUAUUGUAUUAUUUCUAACAACUGGCGAAACUGAGAAAAUCCUUUUUAACUCUUAUUCUAUUGAAAGACAAUCUGUCGGCAAAAGAAGGAAGAUUGUGACUAUGGUGACAAGAUCCACUCGGAGAUUAUUCAUCUAAGAUUUACACUCUGUAUCAGUCUUAUUCAACAUUUAUAUAUUCUGACUAUAAAGUCAGCACACGAAAGCUGUCUAAACACGUACAUACUGUAACUAACCAUUUACCAUCUACACGCUGGGAUCAGCCAUUAAAUAACACGUUCAGUUAUCUAGCAAACAUCUUCACACAGUACUUACCUAAUCCUUUCCUAACUCGGUGACCAUCUCGUUAACAUUUAAUCAUAGCAUGGACACAAAUCUAUUGCCAGUCGGCACUUAAAAAUUUCUCUACUCUCAAAAGUUAAGAAAAACACGCGUUAAAUUAAAGUUAUUCUUUCUUACUUCGACACUAAAAUACAAAAUUUCUAUCCCUUACAAAGAGGCCAGCCACAGCAAAAGACACACGCUGCAAUACAAAAGUAUUAACGCAAGUAAUCUCCCAUUCAUACAGAAUAAAGUUCCAGAAUGUUGAUUUAUCUCGGCGAAGUAAUUAUCUUUAUGAUUUUACUCAUAAUCAUCAUGUCGAUGACAUUACUUGUCAAGAAGAAAUAACGUUGAUGAAUAAUGAUCUCUCAUUUAUGGGACGGCAACGACCAAAUUUUUGAUGAACUCAAGCAAAAGAUGAAUUACAAAAAGAUAUUUUCUAUUGCUGUAAAGGUUGUCGACACGUACAUGCUUUGCCUGUGAUAAUGCAUUGCGGGCCAAAUCUAGAGGACGAUGAAAUAUUAUACGCUCUCAACGAAGUAUCACAUCCGAAUCUGGAUUUUUACCAAAAUAGAAUCAAGUCUGAACCCAACGGUGAUUUCAUUGAAAAUAUUCUACGUCAUUGGUCUCAGAAUUAUGAGUAUCUGGAGAAGAAAACAGGUUAUGUUGAAUGGUUAUUUCCGACUCCAGAAGAUACAACACCUCACAAAUAUUCUUCACCACUCACUUCUUAUGAAUCUCGUAUGAUGCAAAAUGACAUUAACAUCCAAAAAAGAUACCUUCGCAGUUUCAGAAUGAUGCUAAACUUUUUUGGCUUUCAAUUAACAAGUUCUAUGCAGUUCAUUCUCACUCCAGAAGUUAAUCAAAGAUUCUGUCAUUUACAAAAGAACCCACACAAUUAUGAACACUUUACAAGAAUCAUGAUCUCUUUGAAAUGUCUGGGUCACAGUAGAUUACAGAAGAAAUGGGUACAAUUCAUCACUAAACUUAUUAACAUUGGAUUUUUAGCAGAUGCAAAAGAUCAUUAUUCUAACAGCUGGUUAAAAAUAUAAGAGAUAAUGAAUUUGAACUAUAGACUGUCACAUAUUAUUCAGAAGAACAGAAGAUACCUUGAUGAUGAUAUUGUUUUGAAGAAAAUAAAAAUUAAUAACAAAAGAAGUAAAAACAACAAAAUAUUAAUUUUUAAUUAAAUUAAAAAAACUGUCCAGUUUAUUGAAAAAAGGAGCCAGAUGGAACUUGUUGAGGCAGAUUUUUCUAUGGCCAGAUGCCCUUCAGUUGUCAACACACGUUUGUUUCCAAGCAAGGUAAUAUUAGCCCCUGGUCGGAUAUGUUUUCACUGAAGAUUGGAAAUGGAUGGCACAGCUUGUAAGAUAGUAGUGCUUGCUUACAUGAUGUCAAGAGGAGAUACAAACCGAACACUCUUACACACACAUGUGAAAGGGAUCUUUCAGUUUCCAUCUACCAAACCCACUCAUAAAAACCUUAAUGUAAUAUAGUAAUUAUGAGAAGUAAACUUUAUAGCAAUUACAAGCAAGAGCAGUGGUCCCGAGACACUUUUGGGAUGCUACCCCCUUGGCACCCCGGUUGCAUUUCUUCCCUCCCAUCCCACCACUAUCAAACAUAGACCACUUUCUGAAACAAAAUCAAAACAACUGUAUUUCACUAAUAAAACUUAACCUAAUUAACCCAUUA